ensembl:lncRNA
CGCGCCGGCUCAGGCGAGAUCACUGUGUUUCGCAGCGGACGGGACCGCCGCGGUCCCUUUGCGGCCGCGGUCCUCGGAGCGGCGGCUCGCGCCGUUGCAGAGCCAAGAGCGCCCCCUGGCGGGAACGCGGCGGCGGUCCUCUAUGGCCUCUGGUGUGAGGGGCUUGGGACGGGCGGCGUGCACGGCGGUGCGCCGGCUGGGAGGGCUCGGGAAAGGGGAAAUAGCAGCCCAGGUGAGAAAGGAGCGUACGGAAAGGGUGGCAGGGCUGGCUGGUCCUCACCAGAUAGGUGAGACUAUGCAAGAUAAUCGUUGUCAGCUUAACGGAGAUGAGAACCAGGGGAAAAGUUUGCCUCUCUCUGAUUUCUAUAGCAAUUACAAUUAUAUACUGUGUAUUUCCAUCAUACCUCCACACCAUAAAAACCACAGAACUUCUGUCAGGGUGAUACAGACAUUUACUAUAGUCAACAUAAGAUGCACGAAUUAAGGAGUAGAUUAAAGUCCUACUAACUUUUUUUUUUUCCUUCACAAGAUCCCAAUUAAAUUAAACCUAAAAAGAUAUUAAAACAUAAUGUAAUGCUAAAAUGGGAUGGAAAGUACCGCAGUAAUAGCAGGGCAGCAGUCUCCAGCUACAGCAAAUGAGAGCAAACCCAAGUACAGCAGCUACAGAAAUGAAGGAAAAGAGCCACUUACCUUUAGAAGGCCUCAGAUAUGCAAGAAUCCCCAGCAAAAAACAACAACAACAACAAAAAAACCCCUCACCUCCACUGCCAACCCUUAAAUGAGGUCUGGGAAGGUGUGGAUCCUGGCUCCACCUCUUCCAGACAUUCAGGUGCACUGCACUGCACUGCACUCGUGCUCCCCUGGGUUUGCCCUGCCUUCCACCAGGUGCUCAAUCACUGCUUGAGGUUGUGACACGUAUAAAUGCAACUGCUUUGUUUUCAGUGAAAAAAGGGUGUGAUAGAAGUAACCCUAGAAGAAGGUAACAAUAUGCUAAGGAAAUAGCUAUUCUGGGGCACUUCAUUCCUCGUGUAGAGAGGUUGUUGAGAUAAUGGAGGAACAGAUAGUCUCACAGUAGACUUCUCCAUGGAGUUUCCUGUAGCCUGUGUUUCUCAGUUUCUGCUUCGUAUUGAAGUAGCUUAUCUAAUGCAACUUUCUGUGUUUCAAGACUGCAUGAAGUCUGCAACACAAGCAUGCUGAAAUUGCAUCAGUCUGACAAAAGCAAGGUGGUAGAUAAAAAACAUCUAUUUGUAUUUGAGCUUGCAAGCUAGCAAGUACCUGCAGUGUUUCUUUUCGUAUUCUUUUUUUGUAUAUUCUGCUCUUAAGGCAUGCUAUUGUUCCUUAGUGGGUGUGUUCUGUAACAUAAAACAACUGAAAAUACAGUCUCCUUGGAGCUUACAUAAACCACUAGCAUCCCCCUGGAGAGCAUAUUUUGGGAAGCUCUUAAAUGAAGUGUUCUGCUGGGAGCGUGGCAGUGGUGCUUCUGUACCAACUGACCGUGGCUGAUGAAGUGUGAAAACUGAUGCCUUCUCCUGUGUCAGCAACAUUCAAUUGGCAGGACUGGGGAAGAGCAAUAGGGAACAAGCUGUCAUUUUUUUCAAGUAUGCAUUCAGAGUGAUAGCAAAUCAUAAUUUGGUUUAGAAUUGUUGAGUCUUAUACAAACAAAAUUCCCUGCUAGAUAAUUCUUAAAAUAGUAUUUUUUAGGUCUUAUUAUUGCCUGAGGUUGUUUGGUGUUGUCACAUCCUGAAUAGGCAAUUCUAAAACAGCACAGGAAUGUUAUAAUUUAUUUAUUAAAAAAUGUACUUGUUGCUAAGCUUCACUCAGUGUUUUGCAAGGCAAUUACAAUUCACAUUUUGCCUCUAUAUUUAUUAUGAAGUUACUAAGCUGGAAAAACAACAACGAAAACCAAACUGAGUCUGUAUUUAGCAAAUAGAGUUAAAAGGUAAUAAUCUUUGAUGUAUAACUAUGCUUUCCAUGUCAGUUGAUUUUUUUUCCCCAAAUGUAUUUAUAUUACUUGAUUUGAUGUCUCCUUUUUGGUGGCUCUUGUUUCUUCUUCUGUCUUACUUAGUUUAAAGAAAAAAAAAUCAUAUUUUCCAAGUGGUGUAAAUGUUGUGUCAUCUUUAACUUAGGAAGAAGUAGCUUCUGAUAUGCCUCUAUCUUAAUGAUUUCUUUGUUGUGGCUGAAGUCACUGGUGAAUUCUUUCCUCUGCCAACAUUUUUAAUGAUUAGAAUACAUCAGUUUUGGAAGAGACUGCCAGUUCUUAACUCCUAGAAAUAAUCCCUUAUUUUAUCAGUGUUGUUCACCCAAACAGAUAAACCAAUUAAGUAUGAGAAUAGGUAGAAUCAAGACCCAGGGUUAGGUCACAUUAAAUCCUAUUUUACAGCCAUUGCUUGCUAUAUAGAUGCAUGCCCAAGCACUUGCAGUGGGAUGUGUUGACUUCUGUGUGGAAGUCAGUGCAUAUGAGAAGAUCAUUAGGACUGCAAAGAGCCACACAGAAGUUACCAAACACCAGCAUUACGGUUAAUUCUGUGCAGCGUAAUGUCCUUUGGUGCACGCAUUGCAAUCACUUAGAAUGCUGUAUGAUGGUGGAUCCUCCCACUCCAGAAGGUCACCCCUGCGAAUGAGACUGUUCCCUUUGUUCCUCACCUUCAGCCCUGUUGCAGUUCUCAGCUUUCUCCAGAUCCUCCAGCUACCCAUCUCCUUCUCCAGUGAGCCAGGACAAGGCAUUCUGGCACUCAGUACCUCUUCCUUCCUUCUCCUGCUUGGAUCCUCCCUGUUACUGCUCCUUUUUUUGCUCACCACCUGCCGUGGACCGCUCAUCACAGGAGGCCUGAAAGGACUGCUGUCUCCCUUGAACAGAAUCGUUGUGGCUUUCUUUAUUUUUCUUUAACAACCACUGGGGGGUUCUUCUUUCACUGCUAUUGCUGCGCACAGUGAUGGGUCGCUGUGGGUAGAGGAAGAACGUCGCCGCUCUGGCUCUGCUGCUUGACUUUUGUCACGAUAGGGCACAAUGCCUGUUGUGAACAGGGGAGUAAGAUCUGAGAGAAAUUGAUUCUCCAAACAAACUUUUCAGAGGCGUAGCAAUAGCAUCAUUUGAGCUAUUUUUUUUUUUUUAAUCGGGAAUCUGUUCUCCCCUUUUGAUUCCUCUACAGAAGUUCGGAUCAGCUGUGAAAUAAGACGACAUUUGGACUUCCUGAAGGAGAGGGUCCUUUCCCUUCACAUUAACAAGGAGUCAGGACGUGAGGCCUGCACCUGUCUUCACAUUUCUGGGAGAAGUGACUGAAGUUCAGACAGUGAACAAGUAACUGAGAACAAGCAUCAGAUAAACCCAGAAGCUGUGCUGCACCUUUGGGAAGACAUUCUGAUGCACUGAAAGACUUCACUCAUUGGUGUACCUAGAGAAGCUUUCCCUAUGGAAAGAAGCUAUUCUAAGGACAUGGAAAAGAACAGCUAAUGACUAAUCGAGCCUCUGACUUUCUCUGAUGCGAUAAAAAGGACAAAAGGAAGAGCCUACAGGAACCAGCGCAGCCAGACUCUUGUCUUUGUCCAGCACUGCCUUUUAAUUUGUGUGAGAGAACAGCAGGAGAGAUCACUUCAUGCUGUGUGUAUUGCUGGCAUGCGGAGUCAGGAAAAACAGACGCUCCUGAUUUGCUUUGAGAAUGACUCCCUAAUCCAGGAUGCUCUUCUGUUAAUGAAGCAGCCCCAUGGUGCUAGGGCAGCCCAGUAACUUUUGUUAUAAUAUUUAAAUCCUGUGCACACAGCAGCAUUUCUUGCCAGCUCUGCUCUUGUUACAUUUAUAAGUGUGUUAGGUUUUCAGGUUUUCAUUUUUUAAGUUAUCCCAAUAAAAAAAGAGAUGAGUCUUUCUCACUGAUUUGUGAUCAUCCUGUUUUUGUCACAGUUGUCUUAUUUUGAAUGUAAAUGACCUAGAUUUAAUUUUCUAACCCGAAAAGGAGGUGUAACGUAGAAGAUCCAACAACUAAAACUAUGC